rnacentral:rRNA from 1 species
GAUGAACGCUGGCGGCGUGCCUAAUACAUGCAAGUCGAGCGAACGGACGAGAAGCUUGCUUCUCUGAUGUUAGCGGCGGACGGGUGAGUAACACGUGGAUAACCUACCUACAAGACUGGGAUAACUUCGGGAAACCGGAGCUAAUACCGGAUAAUAUUUUGAACCGCAUGGUUCAAAAGUGAAAGACGGUCUUGCUGUCACUUAUAGAUGGAUCCGCGCUGCAUUAGCUAGUUGGUAAGGUAACGGCUUACCAAGGCAACGAUGCAUAGCCGACCUGAGAGGGUGAUCGGCCACACUGGAACUGAGACACGGUCCAGACUCCUACGGGAGGCAGCAGUAGGGAAUCUUCUGCAAUGGGCGAAAGCCUGACGGAGCAACGCCGCGUGAGUGAUGAAGGUCUUCGGAUCGUAAAACUCUGUUAUUAGGGAAGAACAUAUGUGUAAGUAACUGUGCACAUCUUGACGGUACCUAAUCAGAAAGCCACGGCUAACUACGUG